rnacentral:rRNA from 1 species
UACGGAAGGCAGCAGUGGGGAAUAUUGCACAAUGGGCGCAAGCCUGAUGCAGCCAUGCCGCGUGUAUGAAAAAGGCCUUCGGGUUGUAAAGUACUUUCAGUCGUGAGGAAGGUGUUAAGGUUAAUAACCUUAGCAAUUGACGUUAGCGACAGAAGAAGCACCGGCUAACUCCGUGCCAGCAGCCGCGGUAAUACGGAGGGUGCGAGCGUUAAUCGGAAUUACUGGGCGUAAAGGGCACGCAGGCGGUUAAUUAAGUUGGAUGUGAAAUCCCCGGGCUUAACCUGGGAAUGGCAUUCAAGACUGGUUAGCUAGAGUCUUGUAGAGGGGGUAGAAUUCCAUGUGUAGCGGUGAAAUGCGUAGAGAUGUGGAGGAAUACCGGUGGCGAAGGCGGGCCCCUGGGACAAAGACUGACGCUCGAUGUGCGAAAGCGUGGGGAGCAAACAGGGAUUAGAUACC